AGCUCUGGACCUUGUUAAUGUAACUGCUGGCAGCUUUCCUGUAAGGAUCCCCAUUCAGGCCCUUCAGCAACUGUAGGAGCGGGCGUGGUGUUGUCGCUACUGUCAGAUCCUGGACCGGGCAGCCGACUUUUUCUUGACUUGGACAUCAGCAGUGGAAGCAAGGGAAGUUUCAAGACACACAGUAAAGUUUGCUUCAGUCCAGGGAUCACAGUGCACAAAACCCGAGCAUACUUCUCUCUGAGCUCUCCGUGAUGUUGAAAAAGAAGCUUCUUCAAAGAUGACCAAAUGCUUACCCUGUCUUGUGCCCAGCUCAGUGUACAGAGAAAUAACUACACUGAGAGAGAAACAAAACCAGGAAGCAGUCCCUGCCCUGAGAAGAAGCAGCCAUUAGUACACAGAGGAGAUUUCAUAGACACAGUGCCAUCCACAGGAAUGCGAACAACCCAUCAGCUGCCAAACUGCUGAAGAAAAGUGACUCCCCUCCUCCAGCAGGCAUAGGUUGCCAGUGGCUAAGAGUGGAACCGCCUGAGUCCCCACCUCCAUCGUUGCUGCAAUGUGUGUGGCUCAACCUUGUGCUGACAGGAAACUUGCAUAACUGUUUUCUGAGAGGCUUCAUCCAGCAGUGGAUGGAAACGGAUGCAGAGAGAACCACAGCCAAACAUCAGGCGGAGCUCAGGCAUCAGAGUGUGGAUGAUCCAACACUGCACAGGAAGCUAAAAAGGAAAGGUCAGUCCCCGGCACUUACAAGCAUGGUGUUUUCUAGUUGUUCUCAAACAGAAGAGACGAAGGACCGGAAAGAUAAGAACAGUGCCUGUUUCAUGGGGACCGAACACAUUGAGAGAACCUUACCACAGUUAAGUCUCUCUGCCUACAAGGGACCUAUGGGAUCCACCAUCACACCGGGAGAUCAAGGCACCGCAAAGACACACAUCUGGAACUCACAGCUCAGAUCCUUCUAUUCCUUGUAACUACUCCAUUAAAGGCACAGAAAAGAAAACGGUGCCAUUUUACUGAUGGAUUCAGUGCAACAGAUGGACCAUCCACCUGACCAAACUGCAGAGUCGAGGUAUCCAUGGAGAUAUCAUCUUCACAGAGAAUUAAAAAUCCCAAUUUUAAAUCUCCAUAUA
rnacentral:lncRNA from 1 species